UACAGAGGUCUCAAGCGUUUGUUCGGAUUCAUUGGGCGUAAAGGGUGUGUAGGUGGCGCGCUAAGUCGGGUGUGAAAUUUCGGAGCUUAACUCCGAAAACUGCAUUCGAUACUGGCGUGCUUGAGGACUGGAGAGGAGACUGGAAUUCAUGGUGUAGCAGUGAAAUGCGUAGAGAUCAUGAGGAAGACCAGUGGCGAAGGCGGGUCUCUGGACAGUUCCUGACACUGAGACACGAAGGCCAGGGGAGCAAACGGG
rnacentral:rRNA from 1 species